UUAUUUCUCAUGUUUUGAUUCAGACACAAAAGGCAGAUUAAGGCAUAAAAGCGGCGCCGAAGCGCCGAAGCACGUCUUGCUUCCACAGGUUUGCAAGGUUGAAGGCCUAGAGGCCAUUCAGUAAUGAUCCCUCCGCAGGUUCACCUACGGAGA
rnacentral:misc_RNA from 1 species